GAGGAAACUUAAUAAAUAAUUGAGAACGUUUAUGCAAGGACUCAAAAGAUGAUGAAUUAUACCUGAGUAGGAUGAAUCCAGAGGAAAUUCUGGUGGAGUUCCGCAGCGAUUUUGACGUCCAAAUCGAUUGUCCGAUUUUGAUAUAUUUCUGAAAUUUCCCUCAGAAUAGCUGGAGUACGUAAUGAAGCUGUUAUAUUCGGUUGUGGGAUGAAACGUUUUCAAUCUAUUUUCAAAUUUUCAAUGAGUAUGACAUCUUGCUUGCUUGAAUGAAGCUUAGAUGUUGAAUG
rfam:Onchocerca ochengi, WGS project CAWC01000000 data, contig: 17025_20166